rnacentral:rRNA from 1 species
AGACGUCUACAUUAGAUACCCGUGUAGUCCCAGCCGUAAACUAUGCGCGUUAGGUGUAUCGGUGACCACGAGUCACCGAGGUGCCGAAGGGAAACCGUGAAACGUGCCGCCUGGGAAGUACGGUCGCAAGGCUGAAACUUAAAGGAAUUGGCGGGGAGCACCACAACGGGUGGAGCCUGCGGUUUAAUUGGACUCAACGCCGGGAAGCUCACCGGAUAAGACAGCAGAAUGAUUGCCGGGCUGAAGACCCUGCAUGACUAGCUG